rnacentral:rRNA from 1 species
CAGGGAAUCUUGCGCAAUGGGCGAAAGCCUGACGCAGCAACGCCGCGUGGGGGAUGAAGGCCUUCGGGUUGUAAACCCCUUUCAGGAGGGAAGAAAUUGACGGUACCGGGUGAGGAAGCCCCGGCUAACUCUGUGCCAGCAGCCGCGGUAAUACAGAGGGGGCAAGCGUUGUUCGGAAUUACUGGGCGUAAAGGGCGCGUAGGCGGCCUGCUAAGUCGAACGUGAAAUCCCCGGGCUCAACCCGGGAACUGCGUCCGAUACUGGUUGGCUUGAAUCCGGGAGAGGGAUGCGGAAUUCCAGGUGUAGCGGUGAAAUGCGUAGAUAUCUGGAGGAACACCGGUGGCGAAGGCGGCAUCCUGGACCGACAUUGACGCUGAGGCGCGAAAGCCAGGGGAGCAAACGGGAUUAGAUACCCCGGUAGUCCUGGCCCUAAACGAUGAAUGCUUGGUGUGGCGGGUAUCGAUCCCUGCCGUGCCAAAGCUAACGCAUUAAGCAUUCCGCCUGGGGAGUACGGUCGCAAGGCUG